UCCCAACACUCCCAACUUUUGCAGGACUUUUUGACCCCAAAACCUCCUGUCCUGGUUGAAGAUGCUUGUGUCUCACAGGGUUGACCGGGCUUGGCUUCAUGCUCCAGGUGUUAUGACCUGGCCCCUGACACUCAGGUUUGCAGUCACACUCAG